CUCGCCGGCCCCAAAACAGCACAGAGGACUUGCUCAAGCAGAACUGCCCUCAGAGCUUCUGUCAGGGUCCAGGGAGUCCCCCUGUCCCGCCAGAAGCCGCUGGGGAUGCGCCGCGGGCCGCCAGGCUGACGGAGGGGUCCGCGCACGGCUCAACUCAGAGCAUCACCGGAGCCUCGGGUCCUCUUGCUUCUCACAACUACCGCUGCUUCCCCUUGCAACUUAAAAGGUGGAGAACUGUACUUUCCCAUGACAAUCAAGAUGGGAAAAAAACCGUGCAUCUUACCUUAUAAAAGGAAAAGAAUAGCAUGCAUUCAGCAAUAAUUUAUUCCACCAGCUGCUUUUUCUCAUUCCCUGUGGUCAGAAGACUUUGUCCUAAACCUGAAGCCUGGAUUUGUCAAAAGCAAAAAUAAGAAAGCUGUAAGUUUAGACUUGAAGUGCUUCCUGGAAUAACUAUCAGCCUUGCAAAGACAAAGGUGAAGUACAUCCUCCCAGAUGUCACAAGAGCCCCUUCCUUCACUGAUGGAGAUGUCUGGAAUAAAGUGAUAUGCCCCAUCUCA
rnacentral:lncRNA from 1 species